UAGAUACCCUGGUAGUCCACACCGUAAACGAUGGAUACUAGGUGUUGGCAAUGAAUAAUUGUCGGUGCCGGCGCUAACGCAAUAAGUAUCCCACCUGGGGAGUACGACCGCAAGGUUGAAACUCAAAGGAAUUGACGGGGGCCCGCACAAGCAGUGGAGUAUGUGGUUUAAUUCGAAGCUACGCGAAGAACCUUACCAAGGCUUGACAUAUAGAGGAAUAAGUAGGAAACUAUUUAGCUCUUCGGAGUCU
rnacentral:rRNA from 1 species